UACGUAGGGUGCAAGCGUUAAUCGGAAUUACUGGGCGUAAAGCGUGCGCAGGCGGUAAUGCAAGACAGAUGUGAAAUCCCCGGGCUUAACCUGGGAACUGCAUUUGUGACUGCAUUGCUGGAGUGCGGCAGAGGGGGAUGGAAUUCCGCGUGUAGCAGUGAAAUGCGUAGAUAUGCGGAGGAACACCGAUGGCGAAGGCAAUCCCCUGGGCCUGCACUGACGCUCAUGCACGAAAGCGUGGGGAGCAAACAGG
rnacentral:rRNA from 1 species